UACGUAGGGGGCAAGCGUUGUCCGGAUUUACUGGGUGUAAAGGGCGUGUAGGCGGAGACGCAAGUCAGGAGUGAAAUCCCCGGGCUCAACCCGGGAACUGCUUUUGAAACUGCGUCCCUUGAGUAUCGGAGAGGCAGGCGGAAUUCCUAGUGUAGCGGUGAAAUGCGUAGAUAUUAGGAGGAACACCAGUGGCGAAGGCGGCUUGCUGGACGACAACUGACGCUGAGGCGCGAAAGCGUGGGGAGCAAACAGG
rnacentral:rRNA from 1 species